rnacentral:rRNA from 1 species
CCUACGGGCGGCAGCAGUGAGGAAUAUUGGUCAAUGGACGAGAGUCUGAACCAGCCAAGUCGCGUGAAGGAUGACUGCCCUAUGGGUUGUAAACUUCUUUUAUAUGGGAAUAAAAUGUUCCACGUGUGGGAUUUUGUAUGUACCAUAUGAAUAAGGAUCGGCGAACUCCGUGCCAGCAGCCGCGGUAAUACGGAGGAUCCGAGCGUUAUCCGGAUUUAUUGGGGUUAAAGGGAGCGUAGGUAGGUAGUUAAGUCAGUUGUGAAAGAUUGGGGCUUAACCGUCGAAUUGCAGUUGAAACUGGCAGUCUUGAGUGCAGUAGAGGUGGGCGGAAUGCGUGGUGUAGCGGUGAAAUGCUUAGAUAUCACGAAGAACUCCGAUUGCGAAGGCAGCUCACUGGACUGCAACUGACACUGAGGCUCGAAAGUGUGGGUAUCAAACAGGAUUAGAUACCCCGGUAGUC